AUUGAACGCUGGCGGCAUGCCUUACACAUGCAAGUCGAACGGCAGCACGGGAGCUUGCUCCUGGUGGCGAGUGGCGAACGGGUGAGUAAUACAUCGGAACGUACCCUGAAGUGGGGGAUAACGUAGCGAAAGUUACGCUAAUACCGCAUAUUCUGUGAGCAGGAAAGAGGGGGAUCGCAAGACCUCUUGCUUUAGGAGCGGCCGAUGUCGGAUUAGCUAGUUGGUGAGGUAAAGGCUCACCAAGGCGACGAUCCGUAGCGGGUCUGAGAGGAUGAUCCGCCACACUGGGACUGAGACACGGCCCAGACUCCUACGGGAGGCAGCAGUGGGGAAUUUUUGGACAAUGGGCGCAAGCCUGAUCCAGCAAUGCCGCGUGCAGGAAGAAGGCCUC
rnacentral:rRNA from 1 species